rnacentral:rRNA from 1 species
UACGUAGGGACCGAGCGUUUGUCCGGAAUCAUUGGGCGUAAAGAGCUCGUAGGCGGCUUGUCGCGUCGAAUGUGAAAACCCGAGGCUCAACUUCGGGCUUGCAUUCGAUACGGGCAGGCUAGAGUUCGGUAGGGGAGAUCGGAAUUCCUGGUGUAGCGGUGAAAUGACGCAGAUAUCAGGAGGAACACCGGUGGCGAAGGCGGAUCUCUGGGCCGAUACUGACGCUGAGGAGCGAAAGCCAGGGGAGCAAACGGG